GGGCGGUUAGCUCAGCCGGUUAGAGCGCGUCGUUCACACCGACGAGGUCGAGAGUUCGAGUCUCCCACCGCCCACCA
rnacentral:tRNA from 3 species